ensembl:lncRNA
GUACAUCAAUAGAGUGAUAAGAAGAAAACGCUCUCCGGUGCUGUGCUCUGUAAAUAUCACAAAUCACACAGUGGGAACCUGCGAGCAAGGCACACACUUCCACGCCGGUCAAUCUCAUUAGCGCGAACGUGAUGCGUAUGUGUUGUCAUGGAAGGUGAGGACGUUUUACCGUCUAGGGAACAUCAGAAAAUGUGAAAAUGAAUUUCGUUCCUGACCAAAAUUUGAUGUUAUAGACUCAAAAAAAUGAAGAAUAAAGACUAUAUAGACAGAAAAUACAAUUUUUGUUAUUACUAUUUUUUUUUUUUUCCAAUUCUGAAUGAAUAGUCCUAGACGUCUCGUCUCGUCUGUGCUGUCGUGUCAGGUUUUGUAACUUCUCGGAUACGGAUUUAUAUUUUUCCUCGGAGCACUGAAACCUAAUCUGUUGUGAAAUUGUUGAUACUGCUCAACGUGACAAAACGACCCCCCCCCCAGGAGUAACGAUUCACUUUAUAUGAGCCCUUAGGCAAAUUGACGUUGUGCCGAUCGUACACGCGCCAAACGGGCUCGUUUCCAGGCUCUACGUUUCACUAAACACUAUAAAGAUGAAUGUUAGUGCAGUCUUGGUAAGAACAUACUGUCACUCUGCUGUAACAUACGUAAUGAAUAUGCAACGGAUUGCAGAUACUAAAGCGGUGAUCAAAUAUACUGGUGGUGUAUUUGACGUGAUUGAGGUUUACGUCCAGCUUUGAGUAAUGUUUUUUGUUAUUCUUUUCCCCCACACUGUGUUAACCAGGUAGUAAAAAAAAUCACAGCCAACGUAUUUCGAGGAAUGAAAAUGAAUUAGGCAAACGAACAGAGUUGUUCCCUGGUAAUCAUUUUAAAAGUUCUGCUGCCAGUAAAUAAAAUGCAGAGUGCUCAGAUAUGAAAUGAAGCUCUUCGGACAAAAGAGAACCCACUUUCGUUAGCGUGGAAGAGUACGGGGUGCUCACACUGAGCUGCACACGGAGCUGCGCACGGAGCUGCUGGUGUUGGUUGGGGGUUGGUCAGAAUUCCUUCAGGAGGAGAGGAGAGGUGGGGUUUUUUGGUCAGAAUUCCUUUGGGAGUGAGUGGGACUGGUCAAAAUGUGAUCAUUUUAUUUGAUUUCUAUUGUUCUUUUAAUAAUACAGUCACAAAGCAGCUUUACAGGGAUUAGUCAGAGUUCCUUUGCGAGAAGGCAGGAUUGGUCAGAAAUCCGUCUUGAGAGGUGGGAUUAAUCAGAAUUCCUUUAUGAGAGCAGGUGGGAUCAGUCAGAAUUCCUUUACGAGAGCAGGUGGAAUCAGUCAGAAUUCCUUUACGAGUGCAGGUGGGAUCAGUCAGGAUUCCUAUGGCAGAGCAGGUGGGAUCAGUCAGAAUUCCUUUACGAGAGCAGGUGGGAUCAGUCAGAAUUCCUUUGCGAGAGCAGGUGGGAUCAGUCAGAAUUCCUAUGGCAGAGCAGGUUGGAUCAGUCAGAAUUCCUUUGCGAGUACAGGUGGGAUCAGUCAGGAUUCCUAUGGCAGAGCAGGUGGGAUCAGUCAGAAUUCCUUUGCGAGAGCAGGUGGGAUCAGUCAGAAUUCCUUUGCGAGAGCAGGUGGGAUCAGUCAGAAUUCCUUUGCGAGAGCAGGUGGGAUCAGUCAGAAUUCCUUUGCGAGAGCAGGUGGGAUCAGUCAGAAUUCC